GCAAACUUGGUCAUUUAGAGGAAGUAAAAGUCGUAACAAGGUUUCCGUAGGUGAACCUGCGGAAGGAUCAUUAACGAGCCAUUGGAGCAUGCAUUGUGCUUCGAUGUGGCCCAUCCUUGUUGAUUGUACCUGUUGCUUUGGUCGUGCGUCGGCCUGGUGAUUUACAGACAACACCGGGUCGGCCAUGACCAGAGGGCAUCGCUGUGUGCGGUGCAGUACUUUAACCCGUCAGUAAAGUGUUGUGGUCUGAAAUUGUCGAGAGAUAAUGAAUUAAAACUUUCAACAACGGAUCUCUUGGUUCCGGCAUCGAUGAAGAACGCAGC
rnacentral:misc_RNA from 1 species